rnacentral:rRNA from 1 species
GUCCACGCCCUAAACGAUGUCAACUGGUUGUUGGGAAUUCACUUUCUCAGUAACGAAGCUAACGCGUGAAGUUGACCGCCUGGGGAGUACGGCCGCAAGGUUAAACUCAAAGGAAUUGACGGGGACCCGCACAAGCGGUGGAUGAUGUGGUUUAAUUCGAUGCAACGCGAAACCUUACCCACCUUUGACAUGUAUGGAAGGCCGCAGAGACGCGGUUUGUGCCCCGAAAGGGAGCCAUAACACAGGUGCUGCAUGGCUGUCGU